CCUACGGGGUGCUGCAGUGGGGAAUAUUAGACAAUGGGCGAAAGCCUGAUCCAGCCAUGCCGCGUGUGUGAAGAAGGCCUUCGGGUUGUAAAGCACUUUCAGUGGGGAAGAAAGCCUUGGGGCUAAUACCCUCGAGGAAGGACAUCACCCACAGAAGAAGCACCGGCUAACUCCGUGCCAGCAGCCGCGGUAAUACGGAGGGUGCGAGCGUUAAUCGGAAUUACUGGGCGUAAAGCGCGCGUAGGCGGUCUGAUAAGCCGGUUGUGAAAGCCCCGGGCUCAACCUGGGAACGGCAUCCGGAACUGUCAGGCUAGAGUGCAGGAGAGGAAGGUAGAAUUCCCGGUGUAGCGGUGAAAUGCGUAGAGAUCGGGAGGAAUACCAGUGGCGAAGGCGGCCUUCUGGACUGACACUGACGCUGAGGUGCGAAAGCGUGGGUAGCAAACAGGAUUAGAUACCCCAGUAGUC
rnacentral:rRNA from 1 species